GGUAUGUGUUCCCUUUCCUCUGCCUUUAGUGGUAUUUUGGUGUUCACUUCUGAGAAGUACAAUUGGAAGUAUAUCCAAGCAGCCUUGGGGUUUCUGCUGACUCAGGGCCUAGACUUCAGUGCCUCUGAGGCAGAACCAAGGGAGUCUGCACUGGGGGAAUCCCUCUCUGCCUGCCCACCCGCCCACCUGCCUGUGACUGUGUACCUAUCACAAAGCUUUAGGGCCAGCUGAUGUUGUGUGUGUGCAGGAUGGUUUUGAGGCAAAAACAAUACUUAACUGAAUGAAUCCUAUUUAUAUCAUUGUUCAAUCCUGUGCAUGCUAUGAAAUGAUUAUUUCUUUGAGGCAUAUAUGCUUCUGGGUUAGGAUUACACUAGCUCACUAACAUGUCAGGAUGUUGGGACUGAGAGAAGUUUGGGCUGAUUUUUUUUUAAGUAUUUUUCUCUCAAACUGGUGGCCAACAAAUGGCUAAGACAUUUCCGGUGCUUCACCUUUGUGCUUGCAAAGACGGGAGAAUUUGGCAUACUGCUAAUUACAACCCCAAGCCACAUCCAAUGAAACUACUCUUAAAGGACCACUGGCCACUCUUAAAAGAGCUUAAAAAUCAGGAGAUUAAUAAGACUUUAGGAUUUAGAAGCUUGUGUUGUCUUUCCCCAAUAAUUAUUGUGUAAUCUCCAAGUAGUAGCCUUAUCUUAGCAGCGGAUAGAUCAUUGGCUCCUCUGUACCUGAUCAUAUGUUAUUACUUUAAAUCAAAAUUUGGGAAACCCAGGCAUUUAUGCAAUGGAUAUGAAUGGAAAUAUAAAAAUACGUGCUAGCCUGUCUCAGUGAAUUAUCGUAUAUGUAAUCCUCAAGGAAAGUACUUUUGCUUUUACUUAGAAAGGAUUCCAGAUUUGCUUUAUGGGCUCCUGCUGUCUUCAGCACCUGAUAAAACUUUAACCAGGGAAGCAUUAAACACAGUGCAGCAGCUUCUGCCCAGGCUCCUGAGUUCCUGCUGGCAGCAUUUGUCAGUGUAAGAACUAGGAUGCUGCCUGCAGUGGCACCAGCUUCUCCUAAAGCUGGAGCAUGUUGCCUGGCCUUACGCCCCAGCGUGAUGAGGCUUCCCUCCUGCCAGGGCUGUAAGAGUUAGAGUGCUCAAAAUUGUGUCCUGACUGGCUGAAGACUGGGUUUGCAGAAAUCCCUAGAGAGAAGUCAUCUAGGGAGGCAGGUAAAGAAUGUCUUCUGAAUGAAUUGGAUCCUCACAGCAAUCCCUGGCUGCUUUUCAAAGAUUGGGUAUCUGGAGGCCAAGAGGGGGUUUGUCCUUUGAUUUGAUGUCAUUAAAUCCAGGGCAUAUCCAAGAAAUGCUUAGAGUCUCUGCUCUGACAGCCCAAAAAGGGAAAUGACUUAUAUUGGGGACCAACUGUGAGCCAGACCCUGUACUCAGGCCCUAUUUCUCAGAUGAUAGUACAGAUUUGGAGGGCAAGAGUCACUUGCCUUGAGUUACGCAGCUAGUAGAUAACUGGAGCCAGAUUAUGUACCCAGCUCUGCCUAACUCUGUGUUUGCCUAAAACACGGGGAGGAAAAAGGCUGCAGUUUGCCCCACUGCAGUCUGACCAUCCCACUUUAUGGAUUCUUUUUCAAAAGUGCAUUUCAUGGCUUGUAGUUCAGGCUCAGAAAUGGCAUUGGGGUAGCCUUCUUCUUCCACUUUAGCAGACACAUUAGGUACACAUUGCUAACUUGAGCCUGCCCCCAAGAGUUGGGGUGAGGGGGGCCUUUCCUUUUUGGUGUCAUCCCCCAUAAAUAAAGUGUUUCUAGGCUUCCAGGUAUAGAACUUCUCAGAAAUAUGGAAAGCAAAGGGUGUUCUGCUAACUUGAACUGAAAAUGUCUGCUGCUACACUGCUGCAGAAAGGAAGUCUUCAUAUUUUAGUAAACCUAGCCAGUCUGUGCCCAGUGAGGAUGUGGUCAUUCGAAGUCCAGUGACUCUAGACUUUCCUACUAAUACCUGAUGUGAUACAUACACACACGUAAUUUAACAACUAAGGGAAAUUCAAAGCAGCCCCCUCAUUAUCUCGCAUACAACUGCAGAGGUUUCUGCCAGCCCUGAUUACAAGUGUCACCAGAUAAUUGGAGCUUAGGUGCUUGCUUACAAGAUGCUUACAAGAAGAGCAACUCCUUGGCAAAGGUUGUCAGCUCCUAAAGCACUGAGCCAAAGUGACAGCCCUGAAGGAAAUUGCACUCCAGCCCUACUCCAAGAUGUCUAAUGAUAGGAAAUUUGGAUACCUGACCAUUUUGGUGAUCUGAGAGUCUGAUCACUCCAGUCAGGCCUGUGGGCACAGCUGCAGAAUUCGCAACUGGUAAGAUGGCAGGGCAGGGCUCUGGAAAUCCUCUCCUCCACCUAGAAAAUACUCUCUUGCCGAUACCUGAAAUUUCACACUCAUGUAAUAUCUAUCUGUUCAGUGCAUGCUUUUCCAUAAGAAAAUCAGUUGCAUGUUUACUGUGUGCCUAGCACACCUGGAAUUUUCUAUUUAAAAAACAAAUCUAUCUCAUUAUGGAUGGACUCAGCCCAGCUCUGAGAGAAAAGAAGGCCUAUAGGGGAGGCUUCAGAUCUCAUUAAUAUUACCUUACUAGGCAGUGUUUCUGAAUCCGAACCCCAGCCUGUUCCAUGAGCCAUAAGGCCCAUGCAGCCCUGCCCUCUGGGGGCCUGCCUAGUAAAACAGUAGCAUUUGGAAUUUAAGAACACACCGGAAACAGCAGGACAAGUGUCAGAGCAGGAAAAUAAAAAUAAAUUAAGACCCUGUGGGUAUAAUGGUGCAAAGAAUGCCACAGAGCCCAUGCUGGGCUUGAUACGACCUUGAGGGGACAGUAGAUUUAUCCUCAGUGGGAGUUAAACCUGCCCAGCCUUUCUGUAGUGACAGGCCACUGUGUGGGUGGGAGAGUCAGCAGGCCCGCUGUCCUCUGCCUGCUGUCCUGUGCAGUCACAUUCCCUCCUCAGUCAUCGUCCCCUUUCACCCUUUACAUUAAACAAGGGAACACUAAAUCUUUCAAGGGAAUUACAUGUUUGAGUUAAUGUUUCAGUAUAUCAUUUUCAUACUGUAAAUUAUUUUGUAAAAGAGAUUUACCGCUAUCCCAGAAUGUUUGGACUCAGCGCCCCUGUGCAUUUGGAAAUCAAUAAACUAUUACUGGAAAUACCAUUUGUCUCUCAGAGUUGUGCACAAAGGACCCUGCUAGGUGUAAAUAUUUAUGACGAUCUGCCUUCUUAACUGUGAUAAUGCUGGAGAUGAUGGUGUUUUGGUUAUGAGAGGUGGGAGACUUACUCGCUCCUGACUUCUCCAGAGUGGCUUUAGGAGAUCUCUGGCAAGUGACAAAAGAACAGACUUAAAUUCAUUGUUAUUUAGAGAGGUGUUUUCUCCUCACAGUGAAAUGACUCAUGCAUAGGUUAAAUUUUCUGAGCAAAGUAGAUUAUAAACUAAAGAAUUCUGGGUCAUGAAUGAUGUUUUCAAAUAACAUUAAAGCUUGGUAAUUUAAAUUAGCCAGGGGGAGGUCAAAUUUUAAUUUUUACUGUCUUUUCUAGGAAAAAAAAGUCUUCAUACAGCAAAUUACAGUUAGGCCAGCAAAAUCAUCUUUGUGGAACCUUAGAAGUACAUAUUUGAUAUAAAUGAUGACAAGAUAGAAUUAAGCUAUAAAUGAAGCAGUUCUAACUCAGUUUGUAAUAUUAGGAGCAGAGGAUGCAUUAAAACCAAGAGGCAAAAUGAGAAGACUCAAGAUAGUAGAUACUGUGUGCAUUAGAAAGUACAAGUCCUACCUAAAGGCAUUAAAAUUCAGUCUUUAAAAAUCCAUCCUUAGAACCCACCAGCAAGUGUGUCUGGAGGAGCUGCGGUUUAUGAACCCUGCUCUGAAACAAAUUUGUGUCCAUCAAACCCCUUUAGUUAGCGGGGGGCUAUGUGAACUUCAGAGAAAUUGUUCAAGAUAGGGUGAUGGAGCGAGUCAGUCAAGGUCACCCAGUGAGCCACGCUGAUAAAGCCAGGCCAGCAGACUCUCUGUCUCCUGUAGCAGUCAUUAGGCCCCGCUUCCUCCCUCCCCAGUUGCCCAGGAGACUUCUGCCUGGUGGGAUGGGAUUGCCAAGCGCUGUAGCACUUGGAAGGUUUGGUGUUUUAACGAACCACAAUGUGUUUGGAGGUUUUCUCCCCUACUUCCAGGUGCCAGUAUCUCAACACCACAUCCCAUUGCCCCAGCCCUUUCUCGUUUUAUUGUCUUUCCUUCUGAAAGCUACAACUCUUUGUUUCAUUGAUCUUUGCUUGGUCCGACUUACAGGUGGCCCCAUUUCCUUUACACUCAUAAAAGCAUGAAGUUGCAGCUGGUCUGGAGUAUCUCCUGGCCUUAACAAGGCACCCGAGGCUUCUGGGACCUUUUGACCCAAUUGGAUGGCUGUGUCCUAGUAACACAUUCAGCCUGUUCCAAGUGUGAAGAGCCAUGAUAGAUGAGAAAAAGCAAUGUGCGGUCUUCUGUCUUUGGGAAAAUAGAAUGACCUUCCUCCUCAUGCUGGGUUUUAGAGGCAGACAGGCUUGAUUCGAGUGCUGGCUGUGUCCCUAACUAACUCUGAGGAGCUGAAGGAGCAGCUGGACCUUUGGGUCCUAGUACAGUGCCUGACACAUAGGAGGAGCUGAGUGAGUGGCAGCUCGUGAUCACUGUGUAUCGUGACGACCAUCGUCCAUCAAGAUGGAGUCCCCUGAGGAUUGUGGACGGCGCCUGCCCCCUGCUGCCCACCCUGGCUUGUCCGCUUGGCCUGUCUGGAGCCUCUCCAGGGCUGCUUCUCAGCUCUCUCUGCCACACCCUCCCAGUCACACUUUCAUAUCAACUUUGCUGAUAAAAUUGCCUGACCCAGAAUAGAUGUUCAAAUAUACUUGUGGACUUGCUGACUGACAUCUUGAUAGCAUCCGUAUCCAGAGUCGCUCCAGAUAUUACAUCUUGAUGCAGAAAACUGGGAGACACCUUUAGCUACAUCUACCCCAGCAUGAGUGUUCAAAGCACGUGGUGCCACCAAAAGAUAUCUGCUCUUCGGGAGAAGAGGGAGGAGAGCUGGGACAUCUAACUGCCAUCCCGGCUCGGCCACUAACAAGCCGGGCAGCUUGCCUCUAAGUACCCCUGAAAUGAGGGGUGAAGUCAGCUAGAUUGGAGGAUGUCUCCGGCUCUUCCAGCUCUCACAUUGAAGGCUCUUAGCAAAGCGAGAAGUGACAGUGGGAACAGAAAGAUGCUUCCUCUAGGAAUCCCAGCUCUUCUUCCUCUGUGUGUGUGCAUAUAUGUGUGUGCAUGCACAAGCAUAUGUUCACGCGUGUGGGGGUGAAUAUGCACGUGUAUGUAUUGCACAGACACGUGUGUAUGUGUGCACACAUGCACUAGGGCUGGCCAUAAAGGUGGACUUUAU